UCCAGAUUAACUCUGGCAGUCUCACUAGAGUGCUCAACUUAAUGGUAGCAACUAAUGAUAAGGGUUGCGCUCGUUGCGGGACUUAACCCAACAUCUCACGACACGAGCUGACGACAACCAUGCACCACCUGUCUUCCUGCCCCGAAGGGCUUCACCAAUCUCUUGGCUAUUCAGGAGAUGUCAAGUCUAGGUAAGGUUCUUCGCGUUGCUUCGAAUUAAACCACAUGCUCCGCUGCUUGUGCGGGCCCCCGUCAAUUCCUUUGAGUUUUAAUCUUGCGACCGUACUCCCCAGGCGGGGUACUUAUUGUGUUAACUGCGGCACAGAGGGAGUCGAUACCCCCUACACCUAGUACCCAUCGUUUACGGCGUGGACUAC
rnacentral:misc_RNA from 1 species